rnacentral:rRNA from 1 species
GUAGUCAUAUGCUUGUCUCAAAGAUUAAGCCAUGCAUGUCUAAGCACAAACUUUUACACAGUGAAGCUGCGAAUGGCUCAUUAGGUCACCCAUGAUUUCUUAGAUCGUACAAUCCUACUUGGAUAACUGUGGUAAUUCUAGAGCUAAUACAUGCGAGCAAGCUCCGACCCCUCGUGGGAAAGAGCGCGUUUAUUAGAUCAAAACCAAUCGGGCUUUCGGGUCCGUACGUUUGGUGACUCUGGAUAACUUUGAGCGGAUCGCACGGGCUUGACCCGGCGACGUAUCUUUCAAGUGUGUGCCCUAUCAACUUUCGAUGGUACGCGAUAUGCCUACCAUGGUUGCAACGGGUAACGGGGAAU